rnacentral:rRNA from 1 species
UACGGGGGAUGCAAGCGUUAUCCGGAUUUAUUAGGUUUAAAGGGUGUGUAGGCUGAUUUAUAAGUCAGUGGUGAAAUACUCUUGCUAAACAAGAGCACCGCCAAUGAUACUGUAGGUCUUGAAUGUAGAUGAAGUGGGCGGAAUGUGUAAUGUAGCGGUGAAAUGCAUAGAUAUUACACAGAACACCAAUUGCGAAGGCAGCUCACUAAACUAAAAUUGACGCUGAGACACGAAAGCGUGGGUAGCGAACAGG